AGUGAUCUCCGGCGUAAUACGGCCACACGGUAUUAAUUGCGGUCCGACGAAAACAAUAAGACCGGCGCGAACUGCGACGCAAUGCCGUUACCGUUGAGUCGGCGAGACGCGAGCAACGUCUGGCGGGAUUUUCGUGUGUACAGCGGUGAUAUUUCAGGUGCCGAGCGGACCCGGCGGAGCUUGCGGUUUUACAGUGACGUUUAUUGUUUUCCUUUUGUCCGUAAACAUUUUUUUUUUU